GAUGAACGCUGGCGGCGUGCUUAACACAUGCAAGUCGAACGAUGAAGCCCAGCUUGCUGAGUGGAUUAGUGGCGAACGGGUGAGUAACACGUGAGUAACCUGCCCUUGACUCUGGGAUAAGCCUGGGAAACUGGGUCUAAUACUGGAUAUGACUUCUCAUCGCAUGGUGGGGGGUGGAAAGAUUUAUUGGUCUUGGAUGGACUCGCGGCCUAUCAGCUUGUUGGUGAGGUAAUGGCUCACCAAGGCGACGACGGGUAGCCGGCCUGAGAGGGUGACCGGCCACACUGGGACUGAGACACGGCCCAGACUCCUACGGGAGGCAGCAGUGGGGAAUAUUGCACAAUGGGCGCAAGCCUGAUGCAGCGACGCCGCGUGAGGGAUGACGGCCUUCGGGUUGUAAACCUCUUUCAGUAGGGAAGAAGCGAGAGUGACGGUACCUGCAGAAGAAGCGCCGGCUAACUACGUG
rnacentral:rRNA from 1 species